GACGAACGCUGGCGGCGUGCUUAACACAUGCAAGUCGAACGAUGAACUUGGAGCUUGCUCUGGGGGAUUAGUGGCGAACGGGUGAGUAACACGUGAGUAACCUGCCCUGGACUCUGGGAUAACUUCGAGAAAUCGGAGCUAAUACCGGAUAGGACCUUGCACCGCAUGGUGUGGGGUGGAAAGUUUUUCGGUUUGGGAUGGACUCGUGGCCUAUCAGCUUGUUGGUGAGGUAAUGGCUCACCGAGGCGUCGACGGGUAGCCGGCCUGAGAGGGUGCCCGGCCACACUGGGACUGAGACACGGGCCAGACUCCUACGGGAGGGAGCAGUGGGGAAUAUUGCACAAUGGGCGCAAGCCUGACGCAGCAACGCCGCGUGCGGGAUGACGGCCUUCGGGUUGUAAACCGCUUUUAGUAGGGAAGAAGCCUUCGGGUGACGGUACCUGCAGAAAAAGGACCGGCUAACUACGUGCCAGCAGCCGCAGUAACAC
rnacentral:rRNA from 1 species